rnacentral:rRNA from 1 species
CAUGGCAGUCGAACGCUUCUUUUUCCACCGGAGCUUGCUCCACCGGAAAAAGAGGAGUGGCGAACGGGUGAGUAACACGUGGGUAACCUGCCCAUCAGAAGGGGAUAACACUUGGAAACAGGUGCUAAUACCGUAUAACAAUCAAAACCGCAUGGUUUUGAUUUGAAAGGCGCUUUCGGGUGUCGCUGAUGGAUGGACCCGCGGUGCAUUAGCUAGUUGGUGAGGUAACGGCUCACCAAGGCCACGAUGCAUAGCCGACCUGAGAGGGUGAUCGGCCACAUUGGGACUGAGACACGGCCCAAACUCCUACGGGAGGCAGCAGUAGGGAAUCUUCGGCAAUGGACGAAAGUCUGACCGAGCAACGCCGCGUGAGUGAAGAAGGUUUUCGGAUCGUAAAACUCUGUUGUUAGAGAAGAACAAGGAUGAGAGUAACUGUUCAUCCCUUGACGGUAUCUAACCAGAAAGCCACGGCUAACUACGUGCCAGCAGCCGCGGUAAUACGUAGGUGGCAAGCGUUGUCCGGAUUUAUUGGGCGUAAAGCGAGCGCAGGCGGUUUCUUAAGUCUGAUGUGAAAGCCCCCGGCUCAACCGGGGAGGGUCAUUGGAAACUGGG